rnacentral:rRNA from 1 species
GGCAUGUACGGAAGUUGCCAGAGAUGGCUUCGUGCUCAAAAGAGAGCCGUAACACAGGUGCUGCAUGGUUGUCGUCAGCUCGUGUCGUGAGAUGUUGGGUUAAGUCCCGCAACGAGCGCAACCCUUGUCAUUAGUUGCUACGAAAGGGCACUCUAAUGAGACUGCCGGUGACAAACCGGAGGAAGGUGGGGAUGACGUCAAGUCCUCAUGGCCCUUAUAGGUGGGGCUACACACGUCAUACAAUGGCUGGUACAAAGGGUUGCCAACCCGCGAGGGGGAGCUAAUCCCAUAAAGCCAGUCGUAGUCCGGAUCGCAGUCUGCAACUCGACUGCGUGAAGUCGGAAUCGCUAGUAAUCGUGGAUCAGCAUGUCACGGUGAAUACGUUC